UACGAAGGGGGCUAGCGUUGUUCGGAAUCACUGGGCGUAAAGGGCGCGUAGGCGGCUUUAUAAGUCGGGGGUGAAAGCCUGUGGCUCAACCACAGAAUUGCCUUCGAUACUGUAGAGCUUGAGACCGGAAGAGGAGAGUGGAAUUCCUGGUGUAGCGGUGAAAUGCGCAGAUAUCAGGAAGAACACCCGUGGCGAAGGCGGCUCUCUGGGACGGUACUGACGCUGAGACGCGAAAGCGUGGGGAGCGAACAGG
rnacentral:rRNA from 1 species